GAUGAACGCUGGCGGCGUGCCUAAUACAUGCAAGUCGAGCGAACAGACGAGGAGCUUGCUCCUCUGACGUUAGCGGCGGACGGGUGAGUAACACGUGGAUAACCUACCUAUAAGACUGGGAUAACUUCGGGAAACCGGAGCUAAUACCGGAUAAUAUAUUGAACAGCAUGGUUCAAUAGUGAAAGACGGUUUUGCUGUCACUUAUAGAUGGAUCCGCGCCGCAUUAGCUAGUUGGGAAGGUAACGGCUUACCAAGGCGACGAUGCGUAGCCGACCUGAGAGGGUGGUCGGCCACACUGGAACUGAGACACGCUCCAGACUCCUACGGUAGGCAGCAGUAGGGAAUCUGCCGCAAUGGGCGAAAGCCUGACGGAGCAACGCGGCGUGAGUGAUGAAGGUCUUCGGAUCGUAAAACUCUGUUAUUAGGGAAGAACAAAUGUGUAAGUAACUAUGCACGUCUUGACGGUACCUAAUCAGAAAGCCACGGCUAACUACGUG
rnacentral:rRNA from 1 species